UACGGAGGGUGCGAGCGUUAAUCGGAAUUACUGGGCGUAAAGCGCGCGUAGGCGGUUUGUUAAGUCGGAUGUGAAAGCCCCGGGCUCAACCUGGGAACUGCACCCGAUACUGGCCGACUUGAGUGCGAGAGAGGGAGGUAGAAUUCCAUGUGUAGCGGUGAAAUGCGUAGAUGUAUGGAGGAAUACCGGUGGCGAAGGCGGCCUCCUGGCUCGACACUGACGCUGAGGUGCGAAAGCGUGGGUAGCAAACAGG
rnacentral:rRNA from 1 species